UGGUGCUCGUGCUCCUGGCAGGAGCAAGGCAAGCCCACAACACCCUGGUGAGAGUGAGGCAGGCCUCCUAGCGGGAGUGUGGGGGUGGUGGCCACGCUCUCCCUGACUGUUGCGGCGAUGGACGGGCUCUCUCUGGCCAAGGCAGCGUGGAUCAUGCGCGGAAGAGAGUCAUCUGCAUCAUUGGGGUGGCUAGAUUCAGCGUCAUGGGCAUCAACUUCGGCAGUGGGGGGUGAGCGAAUCUAGAAGCGCUCCUCCCCUCCCCUCCUUUGUUUCUAGAUCCGCUGGCUAAGGGCCCGAGCCGAUGUUGAGCGACCUGAUUGAUGUUGGCACCAGUGACAGUGACAACCCGAUGGGCUCGGCGGGCCUGUGGAUGGGCUUGUUGAGCAUGUCCAUAGGUUUUCUUAUUGUUUUUUAUUUUAUUUAUCGUGGCAGACAUUUGAACCGUCUCGGUAAAUCAUUGAUUUACUAUGACCUUUCGUUUAAGGCGGUUGCAAAAACCGCCUCGGUUAAUGUAUUUUACCGCCAUGGUCAAGUUUUUCGUAGUAGUGGAAUCUAUAUCUCAUCAGUUUUUUUUCAAUGUCCCAUUGCAAGAGUAA